rnacentral:lncRNA from 1 species
CCGGCCUAAGCUUUGUGAUGAGCAGCCUGACAAUUUGCAGUAUUAACGAUCUUUAUUUUGACCUCUCAGGAGACAGAAGAAGGACUGAGAAACGUUAUAAAUACUGGAAGCGAAUAUUCUAAAUCGGCUCUAAUCCUGUCGCUGAACUGAAAGCAACACUAACAGUAAACAUGAAAUGUGUGACUUCAUUGCACGAGAUAUACUACUUAACGUCAGGAUUUGCCGAGCACAUUCCGACUUCAUUUUGGAGUGACCAUUCCUAAAAGCAAAAAGACAGCAGUGACUCCGGAUCACUUUUUCUGCUGAGAUCAACUGCCUGCUACAAUGAUGGAUGUUUCUUUACUUUGGACGAAGCUGAAGUUCCUGGCUCCUUUCUUGUUUCUGAAGAGCAUGAAGGGAUACAUGCUCUGGUUGAAGCACAUCAGCUUUUGUUCUCUCCAUCUGCCCUGUUAGCCAAGACGCUCUUGAAAAGAAAAAGCACUUGUGACAGAACUCAAGGGUACUACUUUGUACCGCCAAAGGACGUGAUGUGGCACAAGGACGACCCAUUAGAUUCUAUUUGA